rnacentral:rRNA from 1 species
GGGUGAAGCCGGGCACUCUGGCGGGACUGCCAUCGACAAGAUGGAGGAAGGUGGGGAUGACGUCAAGUCAUCAUGGCCCUUAUGUCCAGGGCGACACACGUGCUACAAUGGCCGGCACAGCGGGAAGCGAGGCAGUGAUGCCGAGCGGAUCCCUUAAAGCCGGUCUCAGUUCGGAUUGAAGUCUGCAACUCGACUUCAUGAAGCUGGAAUCGCUAGUAAUCGCAGAUCAGCCAAGCUGCGGUGAAUACGUUCCCGGGCCUU